CCUACGGGAGGCAGCAGUAGGGAAUCUUCCGCAAUGGACGCAAGUCUGACGGAGCAACGCCGCGUGAGUGAAGAAGGAUUUCGGUUCGUAAAACUCUGUUGUUAGAGAAGAACAGCGCAUAGAGUAACUGUUAUGCGUGUGACGGUAUCUAACCAGAAAGCCACGGCUAACUACGUGCCAGCAGCCGCGGUAAUACGUAGGUGGCAAGCGUUGUCCGGAUUUAUUGGGCGUAAAGCGAGCGCAGGCGGUCAAUUAAGUCUGAUGUGAAAGCCCCCGGCUCAACCGGGGAGGGUCAUUGGAAACUGGUUGACUUGAGUGCAGAAGAGGAGAGUGGAAUUCCAUGUGUAGCGGUGAAAUGCGUAGAUAUAUGGAGGAACACCAGUGGCGAAGGCGACUCUCUGGUCUGUAACUGACGCUGAGGCUCGAAAGCGUGGGUAGCAAACAGGAUUAGAUACCCCAGUAGUC
rnacentral:rRNA from 1 species